rnacentral:rRNA from 1 species
ACCGGCGAUUUCCGAAUGGGGAAACCCAGUGUGUUUCGACACACUAUCAUUAACUGAAUCCAUAGGUUAAUGAGGCGAACCGGGGGAACUGAAACAUCUAAGUACCCCGAGGAAAAGAAAUCAACCGAGAUUCCCCCAGUAGCGGCGAGCGAACGGGGAGCAGCCCAGAGCCUGAAUCAGUAUGUGUGUUAGUGGAAGCGUCUGGAAAGGCGCGCGAUACAGGGUGACAGCCCCGUACACAAAAAUGCACAUGCUGUGAGCUCGAUGAGUAGGGCGGGACACGUGGUAUCCUGUCUGAAUAUGGGGGGACCAUCCUCCAAGGCUAAAUACUCCUGACUGACCGAUAGUGAACCAGUACCGUGAGGGAAAGGCGAAAAGAACCCCGGCGAGGGGAGUGAAAAAGAACCUGAAACCGUGU